AACAAAAUGACUCUCGGCAACGGAUAUCUCGGCUCUUGCAUCGAUGAAGAACGUAGCGAAAUGCGAUACUUGGUGUGAAUUGCAGAAUCCCGUGAACCAUCGAGUCUUUGAACGCAAGUUGCGCCCAAAGCCAUUAGGCCGAGGGCACGCCUGCCUGGGUGUCACA
rnacentral:rRNA from 1 species